CGAGUGAGCGGCAAAAGCUCAAAUUUGAAAUCUAGCACCUUCGGUGUUCGAGUUGUAAUUUGAAGAUGGUAACCUUGGGUUUGGCUCUUGUCUAUGUUCCUUGGAACAGGACGUCAUAGAGGGUGAGAAUCCCGUCUGAUGAGAUGCCCAUUCCUAUGUAAGGUGCUAUCGAAGAGUCGAGUUGUUUGGGAAUGCAGCUCUAAGUGGGUGGUAAAUUCCAUCUAAAGCUAAAUAUUGGCGAGAGACCGAUAGCGAACAAGUACAGUGAUGGAAAGAUGAAAAGAACUUUGAAAAGAGAGUGAAAAAGUACGUGAAAUUGUUGAAAGGGAAGGGCAUUAGAUCAGACUUGGUGUUUUACGAUUAUCUUCUCUUCUUGAGUUGUGCACUCGUAUUUCACUGGGCCAGCAUCGAUUCGGAUGGCAAGAUAAUGGCAGUUGAAUGUGGCUUCACUUCGGUGGAGUGUUAUAGCUUCUGCUGAUAUUGCCUGUCUGGAUCGAGGGCUGCGUCUUUUGACUAGGAUGCUGGCGUAAUGAUCUAAUGCCGCCCGUCUUGAAACACGGACCAAA
rnacentral:rRNA from 1 species